rnacentral:rRNA from 1 species
UCCUACGGGAGGCAGCAGAGGGGAAUAUUGGACAAUGGGCGAAAGCCUGAUCCAGCAAUGCCGCGUGUGUGAAGAAGGUCUUCGGAUCGUAAAGCACUUUCGACGGGGACGAUGAUGACGGUACCCGUAGAAGAAGCCCCGGCUAACUUCGUGCCAGCAGCCGCGGUAAUACGAAGGGGGCUAGCGUUGCACGGAAUUACUGGGCGUAAAGGGCGCGUAGGCGGCGCUCCAAGUUAGGCGUGAAAUUCCCGGGCUCAACCUGGGGACUGCGCUUAAGACUGGAGUGCUUGAGGAUGGAAGAGGGUUGUGGAAUUCCCAGUGUAGAGGUGAAAUUCGUAGAUAUUGGGAAGAACACCGGUGGCGAAGGCGGCAACCUGGUCCAUUACUGACGCUGAGGCGCGAUAGCGUGGGGAGCGAACAGGAUUAGAUACCCUGGUAGUCCACGCCGUAAACGAUGUGCGCUGGAUGUUGGAGUUCCUAGAACUUCAGUGUCGUAGCUAACGCGAUAAGCGCACCGCCUGGGGAGUACAGCCGCAAGGUUGAAACUCAAAUGAAUUGACGGA